GACGAACGCUGGCGGCGUGCUUAACACAUGCCAGUCGAACGGAAAGGCUCCAGCUUGCUGGAGUACUCGAGUGGCGAACGGGUGAGUAACACGUGGGUAAUCUGCCCUGCACUCUGGGAUAAGCCUGGGAAACUGGGUCUAAUACUGGAUAUGACCUUUCUCCUUAUGGGGUUUGGUGGAAAGUUUUUCUGUGUAGGAUGAGCCCGCGGCCUAUCAGCUUGUUGGUGGGGUGAUGGCCUACCAAGGCGACGACGGGUAGCCGGCCUGAGAGGGUGAUCGGCCACAUUGGGACUGAGAUACGGCCCAGACUCCUACGGGAGGCAGCAGUGGGGAAUAUUGCACAAUGGGCGGAAGCCUGAUGCAGCGACGCCGCGUGAGGGAUGACGGCCUUCGGGUUGUAAACCUCUUUCAGCAGGGACGAAGCGUAAGUGACGGUACCUGCAGAAGAAGCACCGGCUAACUACGUG
rnacentral:rRNA from 1 species